CGAACGCUGGCGGCGUGCCUAACACAUGCAAGUCGAACGGAGAAUUUUAUUUCGGUAGAAUUCUUAGUGGCGAACGGGUGAGUAACGCGUAGGCAACCUACCCUUUAGACGGGGACAACAUUCCGAAAGGAGUGCUAAUACCGGAUGUGAUCAUCUUGCCGCAUGGCAGGAUGAAGAAAGAUGGCCUCUACAAGUAAGCUAUCGCUAAAGGAUGGGCCUGCGUCUGAUUAGCUAGUUGGUAGUGUAACGGACUACCAAGGCGAUGAUCAGUAGCCGGUCUGAGAGGAUGAACGGCCACAUUGGGACUGAGACACGGCCCAAACUCCUACGGGAGGCAGCAGUGGGGAAUCUUCCGCAAUGGACGAAAGUCUGACGGAGCAACGCCGCGUGAGUGAUGAAGGAUUUCGGUCUGUAAAGCUCUGUUGUUUAUGACGAACGUGCAGUGUGUGAACAAUGCAUUGCAAUGACGGUAGUAAACGAGGAAGCCACGGCUAACUACGUGCCAGCAGCCGCGGUAAUACGUAGGUGGCGAGCGUUGUCCGGAAUUAUUGGGCGUAAAGAGCAUGUAGGCGGCUUAAUAAGUCGAGCGUGAAAAUGCGGGGCUCAACCCCGUAUGGCGCUGGAAACUGUUAGGCUUGAGUGCAGGAGAGGAAAGGGGAAUUCCCAGUGUAGCGCUGAAAUGCGUAGAUAUUGGGAGGAACACCAGUGGCGAAGGCGCCUUUCUGGACUGUGUCUGACGCUGAGAUGCGAAAGCCAGGGUAGCGAACGGGAUUAGAUACCCCGGUAGUCCUGGCCGUAAACGAUGGGUACUAGGUGUAGGAAGUAUCGACCCCUUCUGUGCCGGAG
rnacentral:rRNA from 1 species